GAUGAACGCUGGCGGCGUGCUUAACACAUGCAAGUCGAGCGAAGCAUUUUAAAGGAAGUUUUCGGAUGGAAUUUAAAAUGACUUAGCGGCGGACGGGUGAGUAACGCGUGGGUAACCUGCCUCAUACAGGGGGAUAACAGUUAGAAAUAACUGCUAAUACCGCAUAAGCGCACAGUGCUGCAUAGCACAGUGUGAAAAACUCCGGUGGGAUGAGAUGGACCCGCGUCUGAUUAGGUAGUUGGUGAGGUAACGGCCCACACAGCCGACGAUCAGUAGCCGACCUGAGAGGGUGACCGGCCACAUUGGGACUGAGACACGGCCCAAACUCCUACGGGAGGCAGCAGUGGGGAAUAUUGGACAAUGGGGGAAACCCUGAUCCAGCGACGCCGCGUGAGUGAAGAAGUAUUUCGGUAUGUAAAGCUCUAUCAGCAGGGAAGAAAAUGACGGUACCUGACUAAGAAGCCCCGGCUAACUACGUGCCAGCAGCCGCCGUAA
rnacentral:rRNA from 1 species